rnacentral:sRNA from 1 species
GUUGCGCCCCGACUUGAGCGGAAAUCCUUUUUUUUCAAUGGCAAAAGCGUUGGCGAAAAAAGAUUGGGAGCGGAAGGCGGAAUUUGGC